AACGAACGCUGGCGGCAGGCUUAACACAUGCAAGUCGAACGCAUCCUUCGGGGUGAGUGGCAGACGGGUGAGUAACGCGUGGAACGUGCCCUUCAGUUCGGGAUAACCCAGGGAAACUUGGGCUAAUACCGGAUACGUGCGCGAGCAGAAAGAUUUAUCGCUGAAGGAUCGGCCGGCGUCGGUUUAGCUAGUUGGUGGGGUAAUGGCCCACCAAGGCGACGAUCAGUAGCUGGUCUGAGAGGAUGAUCAGCCACAUUGGGACUGAGACACGGCCCAAACUCCUACGGGAGGCAGCAGUGGGGAAUAUUGGACAAUGGGCGCAAGCCUGAUCCAGCCAUGCCGCGUGAGUGAUGAAGGCCUUAGGGUUGUAAAGCUCUUUCGUCCGGGACGAUAAUGACGGUACCGGAAGAAGAAGCCCCGGCUAACUUCGUGCCAGCAGCCGCCGUAA
rnacentral:rRNA from 1 species